rnacentral:rRNA from 1 species
GACGAACGCUGGCGGCGUGCUUAACACAUGCAAGUCGAACGGUGAACCAGAGCUUGCUCUGGGGAUCAGUGGCGAACGGGUGAGUAACACGUGGGCAACCUGCCCAGACUCUGGGAUAACUCCGGGAAACCGGAGCUAAUACCGGAUACGACUACUUCGGACAUCCGACGGUAGUGGAAAGUUUUUCGGUCUGGGAUGGGCCCGCGGCCUAUCAGCUAGUUGGUGGGGUAAUGGCCUACCAAGGCGACGACGGGUAGCCGGCCUGAGAGGGCGACCGGCCACACUGGAACUGAGACACGGGUCCAGACUCCUACGGGAGGCAGCAGUGGGGAAUAUUGCACAAUGGGCGAAAGCCUGAUGCAGCGACGCCGCGUGAGGGGACGACGGCCUUCGGGUUGUAAACCGUCUUUCAGCAGGACGAAGCGAAAGUGACUGUACCUGCAGAGAAGCACCGGCU